rnacentral:tRNA from 1 species
CGCGGGGUGGAGCAGUCUGGUAGCUCGUCGGGCUCAUAACCCGAAGGUCGUAGGUUCAAAUCCUGCUCCCGCAA